GGCCAGGCGUGCUCACCUCUUCGACAGCGCAGAAGAAAGGACUUGGCAUCUGGGAAGUGGCUUUUAAAACCGGCCAGGGUACACUCGCUACAAUGAUCCACCGAAACAACAGCCGUCUAAAAAUAAGAUACGCAUAAAACCACCCCAGCGCUCCACACGCCACCGUCCAAUUCCAACAGGAAAGCACGGUCCCCUCCUGCCAGCUCUGGGGGCAGAGGGACGGCGAACAGUGAGCGCAGGGAACGGGCAACGGAGCUGGAAGCGGCGGGGCCCCUCCAGCAUCCCUCACCGGGGCGAUUCCGGCCCGUGCCGGGGUGUCACUGCCGCGGCGGGGGCCGGGACGGGGCAUCCCGGAGGUGGGAGGCGGGAGGAGGAGCCGCUGUGGGUUGGAAACCUCUCCUUUCCCCGCUACGAAGUGAUGAGAUACAAGUGGGUUGCUGAGAUAUUUACAGAAUAAUAAUAAAUAAAACAAUAAUAAUAAAUCUGGAGCGGCUGAAACCGA